UGUUAGGAUAUCUUUCACCACACCAAGUGUAGUGGAUUAUAGCUAUUAUGAUAUAAAAGAUAUGGAUUGUUUAAUAGUAUUCAAAGAUUGUUUCCGUUUAUUCUCUGAAAGUGGAUUAAACUAAACUUAGUUGUUAUCUAAACCGGAUAUCGGAUUUAAUGAAUUUGUGGAGCAUAUACUAUUUCGAAUGAUUUUAAGCAUACAAUUCAGUUGUAUUAGAUGAGUAAAUGCAGUCUAAAAAUGUAUAUAAUAAAACGGAAGACUGGUCAACACCAUAGAGAUGGUUCGUUUUACAUCAGCUGAUGAUUCGACAGUUAAAGUACUUUUUGAAUUACGCUGCCCAGAAAUUAUGACCCUUACUGUUACGUGUUCACUGCUGUUGGAUAAUUGAGAAUUACACAUAAGAAAUUAAAAAAAACUUGUUGCUUACAAGAAAAAAAGCGCCUAAUUGUUUUUGAAAUAAUCAAUUAAAACGAAGACAAUAAAUGUCAAUAAAAGGGUUCAUUAUUUGUACAAAUGAUGAACAGAUAGAGAAAAGACAAAAUGGAUAUAUUGGUAUACCCGACAACACCUGUAUUUAUAUUAGGAAUAAUGUUUUUGUUAACACAAGUUAUAACAGAAAGUGUUGAAAGGUUUACAAAUAAAUCGUUUAUCAACCCAGUCUUCCUACCAUCAGUAACUAAUAUCACUGCUAAAAGAGGGUCGUUGGCUGUUUUACCCUGUUCUAUACAAUACCUACAAGAUAAACAAGUUGCUUGGAGAUCUGUUGACGAAGACAAAUUUCUAACGAUUGGUAAAAAGACUUGGUUUAAAAGCGAUCAAAUUAUAUUAGAACAUAUAUCACUAUCUGAUAAUAUUACAAAUUGGGAUUUAUUAAUUAAAAAUACAGAAUUUAUAAAUGGUGGCAUGUAUGAGUGUCAGAUAACAUCAACUGUUGAUUUAACUAGAAGAGUUCAACUUAACAUAUUAGAAAUUACUAUAAAAGGACAUAGAUCUAUAGAUCGUGGUGAUAGAAUAUACUUAGUUUGUAAAGUGACAGGGGGUCCCCACAUACCUACAGAUAUCACGUGGUAUAAAGAUGGACAUCCAAUAACAAGUAGGGGAUUCCCCCAUGCUAUAAUAACUAAAUAUAAAGUUAACAAUUCUAGUAUAACAGAAUUCAUAGUAGAUAGAAGUGUUUUCUCAGAUACUGGUGUUUAUACAUGUAAAAGCAAAACAGUGAAAACUGUUAAAGCUAAAAUAUCACUUCAAAUAGGUGAUACAGUCAAUGUUAAUAGAGUUCCAGUUUCUGAAGAUUUAAAAGAAGAAAAAAGGGAACAAUUUUCUCCCGUAUACACUUCUGGUUCACUGCAAACAUCAAAUUCGUGCCAUAAACUUCCGCUUUCUUUAUUCAUCAAAUCUGUGUUCAUAAUAUUUACCUUAACGGUUUAAGGCCACCAUCGUCUGUAGUGCAUACAAAUCCAAACAUGUAUCAGUUUAAUAUUUAGCGGGCUAUUUUCACCGGACACAGUGCUGGGAUACGAACGGUUGUGUUAUGUCCAGGUGGUGGAGUAAAUAUUUGGAUGCCUAGGAGUAGCCUAAGUGUGUGGAUCGUUAUUGUUUUCAUACAAAUGCAAUUCUGUAGGAUAUCAGAAGUGAACAUUUCAGUUAGCAUAUAGACGUGGAUGUGUUAAUGGACAAAUGAAUAUAAUAUUGACUAAGACAUAGGCCACCAAUCUAUUUAAAGAUUUAGUUUUGUGAAAUAUGAUUGAACUGAAUUUUGAACACCAAUAGACUAACCCAUGGAAUAUUAGGUAAUGGUUUACAUCAUCAAAUCUGUGAUAUCCGAUUCGGUAGUAAUAACAUACAUUUUUGGUCACUUGUUUUCAUCUUGAUUUUUAUGUGUUUGCUUUAAAGGGUUUUUUUAUC